CGUGUGUGUGUGUGUGUGUGUGUGUGUGUGUGUGUGUGUGUGUGUGUGUGGGUCCCUGCUCAGCUGUGGCCCCACACUCA
rnacentral:miRNA from 1 species